UGGGAAUUGUUCACAAUGGGCGCAAGCCUGAUGACGCAACGCCGCGUGGGGGAUGAAGGUCUUCGGAUCGUAAACCCCUGUCGAAUGGGACGAAAGACUCGCGAGUGAAUACUUCGCGAGAGUGACGGUACCGUUAAAGGAAGCCACGGCUAACUCUGUGCCAGCAGCCGCGGUAAUACAGAGGUGGCAAGCGUUGUUCGGAAUUACUGGGCGUAAAGGGCGCGUAGGCGGCCCUCUAAGUCAGACGUGAAAUCCCCCGGCUUAACCUGGGAACUGCGUCUGAUACUGGAGGGCUUGAGUAUGGGAGAGGGAUGUAGAAUUCCAGGUGUAGCGGUGAAAUGCGUAGAUAUCUGGAGGAAUACCGGUGGCGAAGGCGGCAUCCUGGACCAUUACUGACGCUGAGGCGCGAAAGCUAGGGGAGCAAACGGGAUUAGAUACCCCUGUAGUCCCUGAGCGGGCUGGCAAGGCGCAU
rnacentral:rRNA from 1 species